rnacentral:lncRNA from 1 species
GUUUCUUUUUCUCCCCUUUUUUUUUUAAAUUUCAAACUCCCCCUAAAUUAGACAAUCUCACAAUUGAAAAUAAUUUUGACGAAUUUUAGUCAAUUAAGAAUAUCCAUUCAUCAUAUCCAACACUUACAACCAAGAUGAGUUAAUCAUCAAAAAAUCAAAUUUGAUUUCAAAAUUUUGAUGAAUUUAUGCAAUAAGAAAUCAUAUAAUAAAUUAUCGUCAAAAUAAUAAAUAGUGGAGUAAAGACGGUAAUUAAUAUGAAUUUAAUUUAAUAUGAUUGUGAAGAUAAAACCCGUUUAAACAAUCUCUAAAAAACUUUCUCUUCUCAAAAAAAUGAUUCUCAAUCAUCUCCUUUCUCAAAAAUUUGAAUCCCCAAAUACCUUUCCUCAACAUGAUUUUUAAUCAAACAAAAUUCAAAACACCAAAAAUCAUGUAAACAUGUAAUGCAUUGAAUAAAAAUAUGCAAUAAGCACCUAUCAAAGCACUACACGAGAAAUCAGAAAUAACUAAGACGAGAAGCAAGGAAAGAUAUCACCUUUCCGGAUCCAAACUUGUCGGAUCUUUGGUUUUCUCGGCUUGUCAACGUUUGGUGCCGUUUGCUUAGUUUUGAGAUCGACAGUUGGUGGUUUCUUCGGUUGAGACAUUGAAAGAACUUGGCGUUGAAGUUUAGAAUACCGGUUUGCUUUAAGAUUCGGUUGGAUUUGGCGUUGCACAUUAGAAUACCGAUUCUUUUGAGGUACUCGACUAAUUUGAUUUUCCUUUUGAUUCCGCGGGGGAUGUCGAAUUGUAGACGAUGUCGAUUGAGGUUUUAAGAGUGUCGAUCGAUGUGUAGACAAUGCCAAUUGUUUCUUCUUUUCCUUAUUUGGACAAUUCCUUUUAAUAUGU